rnacentral:rRNA from 1 species
ACGCCGCGUGGGUGAUGAAGGCCUUCGGGUUGUAAAACCCUGUCAGGUGGGAAGAAAUGUACUGUGGUUAAUAUCCGUGGUAUUUGACGGUACCACCAAAGGAAGCACCGGCUAACUCCGUGCCAGCAGCCGCGGUAAUA